GACGAACGCUGGCGGCGUGCUUAACACAUGCAAGUCGAACGGUAAGGCCCUUCGGGGUACACGAGUGGCGAACGGGUGAGUAACACGUGGGUGAUCUGCCCUGCACUUCGGGAUAAGCCUGGGAAACUGGGUCUAAUACCGGAUAGGACUCCUGGCUUCAUGGUUGGGGGGGGAAAGCUUUUGCGGUGUGGGAUGGGCCCGCGGCCUAUCAGCUUGUUGGUGGGGGAAUGGCCUACCAAGGCGACGACGGGUAGCCGGCCUGAGAGGGUGACCGGUCACACUGGGACUGAGAUACGGCCCAGGCUCCUACGGGAGGCAGCAGUGGGGAAUAUUGCACAAUGGGCGCAAGCCUGAUGCAGCGACGCCGCGUGAGGGAUGACGGCCUUCGGGUUGUAAACCUCUUUCAGCUAUGACGAAGCGCAAGUGACGGUAGUAGCAGAAGAAGGACCGGCCAACUACGUGCCAGCAGCCGCCGCCG
rnacentral:rRNA from 1 species